GAUGAACGCUAGCGACAGGCUUAACACAUGCAAGUCGAGGGGCAGCGAGGGCGUAGCAAUACGCCUGUCGGCGACCGGCGCACUGGUGAGUAACACGUAUGCGACCUGCCCCCUACAGGGGUAUAACCCGUAGAAAUGCGGACUAAUCCCCCAUAGUCCCGCGGGCUGCAUGGCCUGCGGGGGAAAGGCCAGCCGGUAGGGGAUGGGCAUGCGGCGCAUUAGCUAGUUGGCGGGGCAACGGCCCACCAAGGCGACGAUGCGUAGGGGUUCUGAGAGGAAGGUCCCCCCACACUGGUACUGAGACACGGUCCAAACUCCUACGGGAGGCAGCAGUGAGGAAUAUUGGUCAAUGGGCGAGAGCCUGAACCAGCCAAGUAGCGUGCAGGAUGACGGCCCUAUGGGUUGUAAACUGCUUUAUAAGGGAUAAAGUGAGCCUCGUGAGGCUUUUUGCAUGUACCUUAUGAAUAAGGACCGGCUAAUUCCGUG
rnacentral:rRNA from 1 species